rnacentral:lncRNA from 1 species
AAAUUGGGAUAAAAACAAAACUAAAUAACUAAUUGAUACAAUUUUUUUACUAAUUAAAGAUGGAAGUCCAAACAACAAAAGUUAGGUGCUUUGAACCUGCCGACAAAACAAAAGAAAGUGCUAAAGCCAUCUAUCGACAAAAUCUGCAAUCAUUUAAUUGCCAACCCUAUAUAUACGGACUCCCAUACAAUGUUGGGAAUAUGUUCUGCAUUAUAAGAGACAUGCAUUAUCAGACAAUUUUACACAUAUUUAAACUGGUCUCCAAGUUCUUUUAUAAACCUUUAUAUCUUUUAUAACUAUUAGCUUCAUUGUGCAUAAAUAAACA